UACGGAGGGUGCAAGCGUUACUCGGAAUUACUGGGCGUAAAGGGCGCGUAGGCGGUGUGUCAAGUCAGGCGUGAAAGCCCCGGGCUCAACCUGGGAACCGCGCUUGAGACUGGCACGCUCGAGUUCGGGAGAGGAUGGUGGAAUUCCCAGUGUAGAGGUGAAAUUCGUAGAUAUUGGGAAGAACACCGAUGGCGAAGGCAGCCAUCUGGACCGACACUGACGCUGAGGCGCGAAAGCGUGGGGAGCAAACAGG
rnacentral:rRNA from 1 species